UCGCCUGCUGAGAUUCUAGUCCAGCCGCCUUGCCACCAACGGGCAGGGAACCGUUAAGAGAUACCGUUUCCAGCCUGCCUGGCCAGGAACGCGGUGCCCCGCUCCUCCCACGAGAACUGCGCCCCGCCCCCGAGCCCGGGGAAGACUGGGAUUGUAGUCCCGAAGCGCUUGAAACAACGGGCAGGAGCGGUGAAGAGACUACAGCUCCCAGAAUGCACAGCGAGGCCGGCACAGUCCGGCUUCCCCCUUCAGUACUGCGUGCCACUCCCUGUUCAUGCUGGCUGGGAUUGUAAUCCGGUCGCCCUGCAAUUAAAAAACUGGAAGCUAAUCAAAGAUGACAACUCCCAGUAUGCCAGGCGUAGCUCCCGCCCUCGAAUCCACACCUCCCCGAGUCCAGAGCAGUUCUGCCAUGCUAAGGGGAGCCUGGCUGUUUCCAUACCUCUCCUGCCUGCCAGAAGACAGCGGGACCAGGGCGGCUGGUCUUACCGUGUAAUUAUGUCACUACCUCUCCCUAAGAUGCUGGUUUCAUGCUUCGUCAUUGCCAGAAGUUUGAUUUCUCACGGAGCAGCAGGGGACCAGGAGCGGCUCACAAACCUGUCAGGGUUGCCAUAGUAAGGCUCCUCUUCCAGGAGCGGUACUCGCUCCGCCCCUUCCCUCGCCCCUGCCCCUUCUCCCACCCUUGCCCCUUCUCCUUGCCCCGCUCCUUCCCUUGGGGGCAGCCUCUCCCCUUUGGCAUCGCCCCUCCUCCUUGCCCCACCCCUGACACGCCCCUUCGGACAUGCGCAGUGUAGUCCCUGCGUAGGACUGCGACUAAUGGCCAAGUGUCUGACAGUUCUCCGACUUCUUGGCAUCCCACGCGGGAAGUUCCCUGAUUAACUCGAAGUACCCCACGACUACAUGCUAAUGAAACUAGAGGAGGCACAGCCUCAGCUCUGUGCAGGACGGAUGCAGAAGAGCAGAAUCUCCAUGGGACGUCUUUCUGGAGUAUCAAUAUUACUGCAGGAUUUGGGAAAGAAACAAAUUUAAAUAAUUUCCAACAUAAGACACUGGAAAUUUAAGAGAAGGCUGGAAAGUCAUUGGCCUUUAAUAACUGUCAGUCAUCUGUGCCUAACUGGGACUUUCUCCAAGAAAAAAAAAAAAAAAAACUCUAAGGAGAACCUAUUUUUCAUUCUUCUAAGUAGUUAAAAUUAGAAAUCACAGCAAGUCAAUAGAAAACUCUGCCCUGCCAGUCUCCUAAAUCACAAUAUGGCCUUGGUAUGGAUUUAUUUGUAUUUUUUGGAGAGGUUUGUUGACAUGUUGGGUAUAAAAAUUGGGGGGUUUUGACCAAUUUUUGGAAGUUGUCAGCUAUUAGUUUGCUUUGUACCUCAUUUAAUUUUUCUGCCUCCUCUCCAACUUGGACUCAAUCACUCCACAGGUCUCUAAGACUCUUCGUUUUCUUUAAGCUUUUUCACUCUUUUAUCCAGAAUGGACAAUUUCUAUUGCUCUGUCUUCUGCUUCUAACCUUUGAAUAAGCUCAAAAGUAUUUUUUAAAUUUCCUUAUCUUCCUAUUGUUUCAUAAUUUCCAUAUCUUUGCUGAGGUUCCACUUCUCUUUAUUCAUUAUUAGAAUAUUUUCCUUUACCCCCAUGAACAGAUUUAUAAUAGCUGCCUUCAAACAUCCUGAAUUAGAACACCUUGAAUAUCUUAGGAUCACUUUUACUGCCUGCUUUUUUAAUUGCGUAUGGGUUACAUUUUUGUGUUUCUUCACAUGUCUCAUGAAUUUUAAAGUUGGGUACUAAAACUGUAAAGAAUCAUUAGAGAGACUCUUAAUUCUGUUGUGUACCUUUGAAGGGUGGUGUUAUUGUUUGCAAACGAUGUUAAUUGUGCUGGAUUCAAAUGUCAAUACCUAUCUCCCCUAUAGUGGGCACAGCUGAAAUUCUCAUUCAGUUCUUACUCACACAUGAGUCAUAUUUGUAUUAUGUAGAUGUGUUUCUAUAACAAUAUAUAUUAUUUGAAUGUCAUCAUUAUAAUCUGUGUUAAUUCAACAAGCUACUCCAGUAUUACUGAAAGCCAGGACCCCAGUUUUGUCAGCUUCUUGGAUUUUGUAUAAAUUAAAUUGUAUAGUAUGUAUACUUUUA